rnacentral:lncRNA from 1 species
AUACCAAAAAUCAAAACUUCAGAGAUUGAAAUGAAAUUUUGAUAUGUUAUUCUACAAGUGAUUUCAAAACAAUGGUUGGUGAAAGUUUUUGAUUUCGAGUUCACUAACAUAUAGAAAUAUGCACUUUAAUCUCGAGAACACGUAGUUAUCAAGGCUUAUUAAUCUCAAUGAGGGGAGGAAGAGAAAUAAAGUCACUCAUUCUUCUAGCCCCUAUUUCUAUCACUCCAUUUUCAUGUCAUAUUGUCCACAGAUCCGGACCUUAUUCAAGAAUUCUGCAUACCAGACACCACAUCAAAUGUCACCCAAACAACAAGGUCUGGUAUGAUCCCAUGCGAAAAUCUGGUAGAUGUUAUCCCCGAAGAUUUUAUCUUCUCAGGUAUAGAACAUCCUGGAAAUUUAUCAGGCACUGGACUAUCAGCAAUAUCCGUGAGUCCACAAACUUUUCCAGGCCUCAACACCCAAGGCAUGUCUUUGUUGCGUGCUGAUCACCAUAAAGCCCCAAACUGAUAGGUGGGUAUUCCCCGAUACUGGUGAAGGCAUCAUUAUCCUGGCUGAAGGACGUUUGAUGAACUUGGGUUCUGCAACUGGUCACUCCAGUUUCGUGAUGUCUUGCUCUUUCGCUAACCAAGUGAUUUCUCAGCUAGAGUUGUGGAAUGAGAAGAGCUCCGGAAAGUAUGAUUAGAAGGUCCAUGUCUUACCCAAUCACCUCGAUGAGAAGGUUGCUGCACUCCAUCUUGAAAAGCUCGGUGCAAAGCCUACAAAGCUCUCCAAGGACCAAGCUGACUACAUCAGUGUUCAAGUUGAGGGUCUUCAAGAGUUAAAUAAUGUGAAAAACCUCUCUAUCAUUCUGCCUGUAUGCUUUCAUUUUGAAUAUGGACUCAUUGAUGUGGUGGAAGCAAAAUCUGCAAUGCCAGCUAACAUCUGUCAAGAUGUCAUCAAUCUGGCGAUGAUGUGCAGAUCUUAUCUUUCCCAUCUAAUAUGUAUGUACCAGUGUUAUGAUUGUGAGUACAUAUGUAUCUAUAUAAAAAGGAGAAGAGCUGGUAGGACGAAUGAAGGAAAAGGUAAAGAUAGAAAUACCCUUAACCACACAGAUGGCGCUAGACCCAUUUGAUGGAAACACGCUGAAUGUAAGUAAACUAAAAGUCUAGUAUAUCACAUGAUAUUUUAUAAAUUGGAGUAUCUCAAGUAGUCUGACACACAAAGUGCACUUUACUCUUAUAUAUAUAUAUUCAUAGAUAUUUGCGGUUUUCUUAUUGAACUUUGAUUCUAUUCCAUGGAACCUUAAAAUUUUAGGUAGGUUGAUCAAUCACCAUUGUAUCAUAAACCAAUAUAAUGUUCUUUUAAUAUUGAUACUUAGAGAAGGCUGUGGAAAUCAUUUUAGAUUACAUGUUUUUCACAUUAGUUGAAAUUCAGUACAUGCUGGCACAAAACUACAUCUUCACACAUCUUUCACAUUUAGGAAGUUUUUAUAUACCGGUUCUUGUUAUUCAACUUUCGUUAAAGGUAACAAAUAGGUCACUUGUGAGGAACAUUAUUAUAAAAUUAUUAAGCUUUAAGGAACAGUAUUGCAAAAGCUGAAACUCUAGGUGAACAAAUAAUGUUGUAGAACUUAAUUUUGGAGGGACACUUCUCUUAUCUACCUUACUAGAUUACUUAAGGGUUAAAUAUCAAAGUGGUCACUCAAGUGGAGGUCAUAUAUCACUUUGCUUACUAAUCUUAACGGGGUCUCAUUUANAUAUCUAAUCCGGUGUUGUUCGCUAUCAAUGGAUUGGGAUGUUUUAGUGCGGCAUAUAUUAGAUGCCAAAACGACGAACCAACUCAGGUUUUAAACCAAUCAAUCUUUCUUAUUUCGCCUCAUCGUUUUUAAUUAUGUUUUUAUCUUUAUGUAUGUGUUGUAGUGUUGUUAAUUGUUUUAAUACAUUUUCGUCAUUUACAUUCUAAUUGGAGUGCUGUGUGUUCAAAAUUUUAUACACUCCAUCAAGCUGUGACCAAGCUUCUAAUCGAGUGCCGUAGGAUAGUAUCAAUCACAAUAAAUUUAUUUUAUAACCUUAACAUCGAUUUCUCCCUUAAGUAUUUAUGAUCCAAAUCAUGAAUGAUCCUCCGUAUGUUACAGAUUUUGUGGAUCAUUGAUAACCGGAAGUUUUAGAUAAUGAAUUAGAGACUCAGAGUUAAGUAAAACAUGAAAUUUAUACCUGAAAAGUCCAUGGGAUCAGGAAAUUUUUUGAAUGUGAAAAGAAUUAUUUUGGAAUUUGAGUUUGUUUAUAAAUUAUUACAUCUCAUUAUAUAGGAAGUAUGAAGGUAAGCGUAAGUCUACUAUCCAAACUCUUAACAUACUUCAAAAUUUUAUUUAUAUGUUUUCAGCUCUGUUUUUUUAUUUAAUAUUUUUCUUUUUUGCAUUUUUGAUAUAAUAUUUUGAUGAAAUGCUAAUUUGUUUUUUUUUUUCUUCUGAAAUUGCUUGAUUUUGAACUUCGUCAGAAAUUGUGAAUAUUAGAACCCCAGUUUAAGUCUAUGACCCGAACACAUUAGUAUAUGCGUAUAGUUUUGAAAUUAAACUCUGAUACCUUGCAACUUGCAAGGGUGCAAUGAUGCGCACUUUCUGACAUUAUAGUAUGUUAACUUCUGGAGUCUGGACCGCGUCAGUGGUUUAUUGUGACUUCUGGAAUUCUGGACCAUGUCAACAGUUUAUAGUGACCAGCUUAGAUCAAAUAGGUGACUAAAAGUCAUCAUUUUAAACGUUAUAAAUUGCUGAAAUUUAGUGUUUGGUAUUUUGCAUUGCAUUUAUUGGUUGAACACAGGGGUGGCAAUCUCAGACACGACCCGAAACCCGACUCGAACCUGACCCAACCCGAAACCCGAUUUACUGAGACAGAAACCCGAAAGUGACCCGAAAAUCACCCGAUUGACCCGAAAUAGACCCGAAAUGACCCGAAAUUAGAAUUUUAUUUCUAAUAACUUCAAUUUUCAGUUUUAUUCAAUUUUAAGUGAUUUUAACUUAACCCGAAAUCGACCCGAUUGCUGACACGAACACGAUCAUUUGAAAGAUCAUCUUUGAUUCAGAUUGUAACACAAAUUUCUAUUACCAAAAUCACAAUCUGAUAGUGAUUUUGGUAAUAGAAAUUUGUGUUACAAUCUGAAUCAAAGAUGAUCCUUCAAAUGGAUAUCUUAUUUUAAUAUGUGUUCUACUUAUGAAUGAUACAUUAUUCAAACUAGGAAGAAUCCUUCAAACAGAUUUUGUUUAAACUAUUCUUCCGGAUCAUGAAUGAUCCUCAGAUUAAAUUCUUGUUAACUAUUCAUAUAAAUCCUGAAUAAUAAGCUGCAUCUUGUAUAUGUAUAUAUUGAUAGUGACAGAGGGCUCACUUCUAAAUAUCUUAUCUAUAUAUGCUCCGAUGCUCUAUAGAAGUAGGAAAAGAGAGUACUCUGCACUAGUGUUUAAGAGAUUCCAGAGAAUGAAGAGAGAAACUCCGAAAAGAAAGGCUAUCACUUGUACCACCGACAUACUGAUUCGGUCAGAGAGUCCUCCCAUCCCCGCUUGUCUGGCUGCCGAUGAGCUCACUCGACUUCUAACUAGGUCUGUCAUUUUUACACAUCCAACCCUAUUUUAUAAUAAGUAUUGUAUUUUGGGAAAAUUAAUUCAUUUGUUCCUGAACUGUAGGUCGUUAAUGGUUUAGGUCCCUAAACUAAAAACCCAAUUUUUUUUUUUGCCACAACUAAAAACCCAAUUUUUGAUACCUAAAUGUUUAAAAAAUCUGAUUCAAGUCCUUCCGUCAAAAUUUGACUAACGCUUGUUAGUCAUUGCUGACAUGGAAAUUGGAAAAAUAAAAGAAAAAAAAAUUAAAAUACGAGAAAUCAAAACUUCAAGGACUGAAGUGAAAUCUUGAUAUGUUAAUGUACUAGUGAUUUUAAAAAUACGGGUGGUGAAAGUUUUAGAUUUCGAGUUUACUAACAUAUAGAAAUAUCACUUUAAUCUCAAGAUCACGAAGAUAAAAACUUAUUAAAAUGCAGUUUUUUGUAUGCUGGUGAACUCUAAUCAGGAAUUUUCACUAUCCUUGUUCUUGAAAUGACUCAUAAAUGAACAUAUCAAAAUUUUAUUUCAUUCCAUGAAGUUGUGAUUUUUGUGUUUUCAAUUAUUAUUUUCUUUUGUUUUUUCAAUUUCUAUGUCAGUAUUAAGUAACGGCCGUUAGUCAAAUUUUGGCGGAGGGACUUGAAUCAGUUUUUUGGAAAGUUUAGAUAUCGAAGUUGGGUUUUUUUAGUUUAGGGACCUAAACCAUAAACGGCCUAUAGGAAUGAAUUAAUUUUCCUGUGUAUUUUCAGCUGAUAUAAGAUUACAUGUGUAUAUUUAUUGUGUGUGUGUAUAUAUAUGUGUGUACUUUAUGUAAUGGUCGUCUGAUGGAAUAAGCGAGGUGUACUUUGGAAGAAAAAUCACAGAAGUUCAGAGCUUGACAAAGAGGUUUGACAUCUCUCUCCACUGUCCUCCAAUGUGUAUUCUCUUUUAAAUUGGAGUCAUUUUGACAAAUAAAUGGUUUUCUUUAAAACAAAAAAAUACUAACAAUAUUUAUGCAUGUAAAUUGUAAAUGUAAUAGAGUCUAGUCAAUUUUGUAAAUGAAUACAAAUUCAGAAAGUAGUUUUAGGUUUUUGAGUUAUAUAAAUAUUCUAUUAUUAUUUAUUGUUUGGGAAAAUUAAUUUAUUAGUCCAUGACCUAUAUGUCGUUUAUGGUUUAGGACUCUGAACUAAAUAAGACCAAAUUUUUUUAUACCUAAACUUUUAGAAAAUCCGAUUCAGGUCCCUUUAUUAAAAUUUGACUAACUGCAGUUGUUCAAUGCUGACGUGGAAAUUGAAAAAAUAAAAGAAAAAAAUAAUUAAAAAUACCAAAAAUCAAAACUUCAGAGAUUGAAAUGAAAUUUUGAUAUGUUAUUCUACAAGUGAUUUCAAAACAAUGGUUGGUGAAAGUUUUUGAUUUCGAGUUCACUAACAUAUAGAAAUAUGCACUUUAAUCUCGAGAACACGUAGUUAUCAAGGCUUAUUAAUCUCAAUGAGGGGAGGAAGAGAAAUAAAGUCACUCAUUCUUCUAGCCCCUAUUUCUAUCACUCCAUUUUCAUGUCAUAUUGUCCACAGAUCCGGACCUUAUUCAAGAAUUCUGCAUACCAGACACCACAUCAAAUGUCACCCAAACAACAAGGUCUGGUAUGAUCCCAUGCGAAAAUCUGGUAGAUGUUAUCCCCGAAGAUUUUAUCUUCUCAGGUAU